UGAGGAAUAUUGGGCAAUGCCCGCAAGGGUGACCCAGCAACGCCGCGUGGAGGAUGAAGGCCGUAAGAUUGUAAACUCCUGUUAGAGGGGAAGAAUAACUAAGUUUGGAGCUUAGUAUGACUGUACCCUCAGAGAAAGCCCCGGCUAACUACGUGCCAGCAGCCGCGGUAAUACGUAGGGGGCAAGCGUUGUCCGGAUUUACUGGGUGUAAAGGGCGCGCAGGCGGAAUGGAAAGUCAGUGGUGAAAUCCUACAGCUUAACUGUAGAACUGCCUUUGAUACUUUCAUUCUUGAGUUCGGGAGAGAGAGACGGAAUUCCAGGUGUAGUGGUGAAAUACGUAGAUAUCUGGAAGAACACCAGUUGCGAAGGCGGUCUCUUGGUCCGAUACUGACGCUGAGGCGCGAAAGCGUGGGGAGCAAACA
rnacentral:rRNA from 1 species